rnacentral:rRNA from 1 species
UACGAAGGGGGCUAGCGUUGCUCGGAAUCACUGGGCGUAAAGCGCACGUAGGCGGAUCGUUAAGUCGGAGGUGAAAUCCUGGAGCUCAACUCCGGAACUGCCUUCGAUACUGGCGAUCUUGGAGUCCGGGAGAGGUGAGUGGAACUCCGAGUGUAGAGGUGAAAUUCGUAGAUAUUCGGAAGAACACCAGUGGCGAAGGCGGCUCACUGGCCCGGUACUGACGCUGAGGCGCGAAAGCGUGGGGAGCGAACAGG